CCAAGUGUAGUAUAGUGGUUAGAGUGUUGGACUAGGACCUGAGAGACCAGGGUUCAAAUCCCCACUUGGG